GGUUGGUGGCUCAGUGGUAGAGUGCUUGCCUACCAUGUGUGAGGCACUGGGUUCCAUUCUCAGCACUG
rnacentral:tRNA from 1 species